GGGCGUGUAGCUCAGUUGGGAGAGCGCCUCGUUCGCAACGAGGAGGUCGCAGGUUCGAUCCCUGUCACGUCCACCA
rnacentral:tRNA from 22 species